rnacentral:miRNA from 1 species
UUGCAUAGUCACAAAAAUGAG